AUGAACGCUAGCGGCAGGCUAAUACAUGCAAGUUGAGGGGGCGAGCAUGAUAUACGCGAGUAUAUUGAUGGCGACCGGCGGACGGGUGAGUAAUAGGUAGGAGACCUACCUCAUACAGGGGGAUAGCAUAGAGAAAUCUGUGGUAAUACCCCAUGAGGUUAUAUGAAUAGAGGCAUAUAAUCAAAGCAUAAGCGAUUAUGCGGUAUGAGAGGGGCCUACUGACCAUUAGCUAGUUGGUGAGGUAAGGGCUCACCAAGGCGAAGAUGGUUAGGGGUUUUGAGAGAGAGACCCCCCACAUUGGAACUGAGAGACGGUCCAGACUCCUACGGGAGGCAGCAGUAGGGAAUAUUGGGCAAUGGGCGAAAGCCUGACCCAGCCAUGCCGCGUGAAGGAAGACGGCCUUAUGGGUUGUAAACUUCUUUACUACGCGAAUAGAGGUUAGUACGAGAUACUAAUAGGAAGGUAGUGUAGUAAAAAGCACCGGCUAACUCCGUG
rnacentral:rRNA from 1 species